UACGUAGGGGGCGAGCGUUGUCCGAAGUUACUGGGCGUAAAGCGCGCGUAGGCGGGUUCUUAAGUGAGUGGUGAAAUCCUGGAGCUCAACUCCAGAACUGCCUUCGAUACUGGGAAGCUCGAGUCCGGGAGAGGUGAGUGGAACUGCGAGUGUAGAGGUGAAAUUCGUAGAUAUUCGCAAGAACACCAGUGGCGAAGGCGGCUCACUGGCCCGGUACUGACGCUGAGGUGCGAAAGCGUGGGGAGCAAACAGG
rnacentral:rRNA from 1 species